rnacentral:tRNA from 1 species
GGGUAUAUAGCUCAGUGGUAGAGUAUGCACUUAGUAUGCACAAGGCCCUGGGUUCAACCCCUGAUAUCUCCA